rnacentral:rRNA from 1 species
UUGAACGCUGGCGGCAUGCUUUACACAUGCAAGUCGAACGGCAGCACAGGGAGCUUGCUCCUGGGUGGCGAGUGGCGAACGGGUGAGUAAUGUAUCGGAACGUGCCUGGUAGUGGGGGAUAACUACUCGAAAGAGUGGCUAAUACCGCAUGAGAUCUUUGGAUGAAAGCGGGGGACCUUCGGGCCUCGUGCUACUGGAGCGGCCGAUAUCAGAUUAGGUUGUUGGUGGGGUAAAGGCCUACCAAGCCUGCGAUCUGUAGCUGGUCUGAGAGGACGACCAGCCACACUGGGACUGAGACACGGCCCAGACUCCUGCGGGAGGCAGCAGUGGGGAAUGUUGGACAAUGGGCGCAAGCCUGAUCCAGCAAUGCCGCGUGCAGGACGAAGGCCUUCGGGUUGUAAACUGCUUUUGUACAGAACGAAAAGUCUCUGGCUAAUAUCUAGAGAUCAUGACGGUACUGUAAGAAUAAGCACCGGCUAACUACGUG